GGAUUUGCAUGACUAUAGCUUUGAUUUAUUUGAUAAAUUGCUUCCGUUGCUCAUGUAUAUAAAUUUUUGAAUUGUAUAUGCAUGCUAGUCAUUUAGAAAUCCCAUAUGUUAAACUCUUAAUUUUCCCUUCAACUUUCUGGUUGGAAUCGAAUAGAGAGUUCAUAAAUGAACUUUCCCAUCCAAACAACAUUGUUGUAAGCUUCUAUAUGGCAAUAUAUUUU
rnacentral:lncRNA from 1 species